CUGCGUCAGCAGUUGAGGCAAAAUCUCAGGAUAUCAAAACAUAGUAAACGUAUGCGCAGUGAAGGUUUAAUGUACUCCAUCAUUGGAUUUUUUCCUUUUAGAAGUUCAGAGCUCCGACUUUUUUACUUACAAGCGUGUGACAUCGAAACGGAUGGAUGUUUGACGUCUCGUGUCUCCCUAUUCGCUGUUGGCGAGUGAUGUGUUAGAGCGCAUGACGCAACUUGAACGUACGAAUGCUCAUGGAUGCUUCUUAUUUCCUCCUAUUUGAUAAUCCUCCAGCAGAUUUUUCAAUCGCCUCUGGAAGUCCAACGUGACGGAUGAUGCCCAUCGAAUUUUGACCAGCUCGUGCCUAUUACGCCAUCCUUUAAUUCGCAAUUUAGGUAAGGAUGCAUCAAUUUGCUUCAAGUGUGAAUAAUAAUUUAUUAUGAUAAAUGAGAUAUUUUAAUUAAUUUUACGCCUUACCGGGCACUAUUUGUUUAACUUUUAUCAAGCAAAUAGUAGGUAAAAGUUUCUUAUCUCAUUGAGCUUGAUAUUGUAAUUCCUCUGGCUCGUUCACAACUUUUGUCUAUUGAAUAUUCUUAAGCCAUUCAAACAAUGACCACCCCUACAAUUGAACUGGAGGAACAUUUCGGACCUAAUCGUAUUAGAUUAGGAGACAAAUUCAAGCAACUUGAAAAAGAGUCGGUCAUUUUAUCUCCGUUCUUCCUAAUUGUCAGAUGUGACAUGAGAGGUGGGACUAAGUUCACUAAAAAUUUGCAAAAACCGUUUGAUAAAAACUUCACCGACGCUAUGAAAUCAAUGCAAGAAAAAAUGCACAGUAUCUACAGACCUACGUUGUCUUACACUCAGUCUGACGAGAUUUCCUUUAUUUUCUUCGAGGCAAAAAAUGAUGUUUUGUUCAAUUUACGGAGGGACAAAAUAAUAAGUUUAACCGCCGCUCAGGUUUCGACUUAUUUUAAUUAUUUUAUGAAGUCUAAUUUUUCAGUUUUUGACUGCAGAGUGUUUAAUGUCGAUUCUCAAAUUACUUGUUUCGAAUACCUCUUAUGGAGACACUAUUAUGACUGUCAAACAAACUCAAUUCAACAAAUUGCGAGACAAUUUUAUUCUCAAAAGGAGUUGAACAAUAUAAAUAUUCGUAAUAUUUACGAGUUACUGAAGAAAAAAACGAAAAUUGAAAAUUAUCCGAUUGAAAAUAUCAAUGGUGUAUUUACCAAAAGUAUUAAAAUCAUGAAAGAAGGAUAUAAUCCUCUAACGAAGGAACAUGUUAAUGUUGGAAGAACCAGUCUGAAAUCUGAAUCAUUUUUAAUGAAGAAAGAUUUCUCUAAUCCAUUUUUUGAUUCUUUGAAAAAUGAAACAGAAAUCUAGCAUGGAUAUUUUUUAAUCGAUCAACUUUUUAAAAAACUCUCAUCAUCUUGUGAAAAACAAGAUUAUGUCGCAUUCAAAUAUGUUUAGAAAGUAGGUUAAGAAGUAAAAUGUUCAAAUCAGUCAAUAAUUGCGUUCAAGUAUUUUCUCAUAAAAGUGUGAUCCGGAUUAUGUAUCAAAAUCACCCCAUGUAUUUUCAUAUCUGUGCCGUUUAUGUGCGAGUUCGUUAACUUUUCCAUUGGCUUCUUGACCGAUAUAUUAAUACACAUAAUUUAAGCUGAAGGUCAUAAACAAACCGAUUAAGAUAUUGCUAAAUUCUGAGUUUAGAUGUCACUCGUACUUAUUGUAAGAGAUUUACAGCUUUGUUUCCUUUGUAAAAAAAAUAAACUGGCAAAAUUGGA